rnacentral:rRNA from 1 species
UAAUACUUGGCAAUCUACCUUCAAGUGGGAGAUAACCCGCCGAAAGGCGGGCUAAUAUUCCGUAAGACCACAGGAUCUCAUGAUCCAGGGGUUAUAGCUCCGCAAGGGGCGCUCGAAGAGGAGCCCGAGUCCUAUCAGCUAGUUGGUGAGGUAACGGCUCACCAAGGCUUCGACGGGUAGCCGGCCUGAAAGGGUGAUCGGCCACACUGGCACUGAGACACGGGCCAG